rnacentral:rRNA from 1 species
GACGAACGCUGGCGGCGUGCCUAAUACAUGCAAGUCGAGCGCAGGAAACUGACGGAACUCUUCGGAGGGAAGGCAGUGGAAUGAGCGGCGGACGGGUGAGUAACACGUAAGGAACCUGCCUCAAGGAUUGGGAUAACUCCGAGAAAUCGGAGCUAAUACCGGAUAGUUCAUCGGACCGCAUGGUCCGUUGAUGAAAGGCGCCCCGGCGUCACCUUGAGAUGGCCUUGCGGUGCAUUAGCUAGUUGGUGGGGUAACGGCCCACCAAGGCGACGAUGCAUAGCCGACCUGAGAGGGUGAUUGGCCACACUGGGACUGAGACACGGCCCAGACUCCUACGGGAGGCAGCAGUAGGGAAUCUUCCACAAUGGACGAAAGUCUGAUGGAGCAACGCCGCGUGAGUGAUGAAGGUUUUCGGAUCGUAAAACUCUGUUGUAAGGGAAGAACACGUACGAGAGGAAAUGCUCGUACCUUGACGGUACCUUACGAGAAAGCCACGGCUAACUACGUGCCAGCAGCCGCCGUAA